rnacentral:rRNA from 1 species
AGCAGCCGCGGUAAUUCCAGCUCCAAUAGCGUAUAUUAAAGUUGUUGCAGUUAAAAAGCUCGUAGUUGAAUUUCGGGAUUGACACAUCGGUCGUGCCUUAAGGGGUAUGAACUGGUGUAGUCAAUUUCUCACCUUCUGGAGAACCGCGAUGCCCUUAAUUGGGUGUCACGGGGAACCAGGACCUUUACUUUGAAAAAAUUAGAGUGUUUAAAGCAGGCAUUUUGCUUGAAUACAUUAGCAUGGAAUAAUAAAAUAGGACGGCAUGAUUCUAUUUUGUUGGUUUCUAGGAUCACCGUAAUGAUUAAUAGGGAUAGUUGGGGGCAUUAGUAUUCAAUUGUCAGAGGUGAAAUUCUUGGAUUUAUUGAAGACUAACUACUGACGAAAGCAUUUGCCAAGGAUGUUUUCAUUAAUCAAGAACGAAAGUUAGGGGAUCGAAGACGAUCAGAUACCGUCGUAGUCUUAACCAUAAACUAUAGCCGACUAGGAAUCAGACGAUGUUAAUUUUUAANGUACUGUUUGC